rnacentral:rRNA from 1 species
CGAAGGGUGCAAGCGUUAAUCGGAAUUACUGGGCGUAAAGCGUGCGUAGAUGGUUCAUUAAGUCGGAUGUGAAAGCCCCGGGCUCAACCUGGGAACUGCAUCCGAUACUGGUGGACUAGAGUGCGGUAGAGGAUGGCGGAAUUCCCGGUGUAGCGGUGAAAUGCGUAGAGAUCGGAGGAACAUCCGUGGCGAAGGCGGCCAUCUGGACCAGCACUGACGUUGAGGCACGAAAGCGUGGGGAGCAAACAGGAUUAGAUACCCUGGUAGUCCACGCCCUAAACGAUGUCGACUGGAUGUUGGGUGCAACUUGGCACUCCGUAUCGAAGCUAACGCGUUAAGUCGACCGCCUGGGGAGUACGCGCGCAAGCGUG